rnacentral:rRNA from 1 species
GAUGAACGCUGACAGAAUGCUUAACACAUGCAAGUCGACUCGAGUCUUCGGACUUGGGUGGCGCACGGGUGAGUAACGCGUAAAGAACUUGCCUCUUAGACCGGGACAACAUCUGGAAACGGAUGCUAAUACCGGAUAUUAUGGUUUUUUCGCAUGGAGGAAUCAUGAAAGCUGGAUGCGCUAAGAGAGAGCUUUGCGUCCCAUUAGCUAGUUGGUGAGGUAACGGCCCACCAAGGCAAUGAUGGGUAGCCGGCCUGAGAGGGUGAACGGCCACAAGGGGACUGAGACACGGCCCUUACUCCUACGGGAGGCAGCAGUGGGGAAUAUUGGACAAUGGACCGCAAGUCUGAUCCAGCAAUUCUGUGUGCACGAUGACGUUUUUCGGAAUGUAAAGUGCUUUCAGUCGGGAAGAAGUCAGUGACGGUACCGACAGAAGAAGCGACGGCUAAAUACGUGCCAGCAGCCGCGGUAAUACGUAUGUCGCAAGCGUUAUCCGGAUUUAUUGGGCGUAAAGCGCGUCUAGGCGGCAAGGAAAGUCUGAUGUGAAAAUGCGGAGCUCAACUCCGUAUGGCGUUGGAAACUGCCUUACUAGAGUACUGGAGAGGUAGGCGGAACUACAAGUGUAGAGGUGAAAUUCUUAUAUUUUUGUAGGAAUGCCGAUGGGGAAGCCAGCCUACUGGGACAUAUACUGACGCUGAAGCGCGAAAAGCGUGGGUAGCAAAACAGG